GGUAGUAUGGCUGAUUUAAGCGGUCACCCAAUCUGUAAAAUUACACAUAGGGUGUUUAAUCACCCUUGCCACCA
rnacentral:tRNA from 1 species